UGCUUAAAGCGAAGAGUGUCUCCAAGUC
rnacentral:piRNA from 1 species